AGGCACCGGCGAGAUUCGAACUCACUAUCGCCUGUUUACUAGACAGGCGCUUUAACCAACCAAGCCACGGCGCC
rnacentral:tRNA from 13 species